rnacentral:rRNA from 1 species
CACGUAGGGCGCGAGCGUUGUCCGGAAUUAUUGGGCGUAAAGAGCUCGUAGGCGGCCUGUUGCGUCCGCUGUGAAAGCCCGGGGCUUAACCCCCGGGUCGGCAGUGGAUACGGGCAGGCUAGAGGUAGGUAGGGGAGAAUAGAAUUCCCGGUGUAGCGGUGAAAUGCGCAGAUAGUCGGGAGGAACACCGGUGGCGAAGGCGGUUCUCUGGGCCUUACCUGACGCUGAGGAGCGAAAGCGUGGGGAGCGAACAGG